UUUCCGUAGGUGAACCUGCGGAAGGAUCAUUAAAGAAUUGCCCAGUCUUCCCGAAGACUGGUUCUAUUCCAAACCGUGUUUACAUACCUUUGUUGCUUUGGCGGGCCGCCGCUUCGGCGUUGGCUCCUGCUUACUGCGCCCGCCAGAGGACCACAACUCUUUUGUUUAGUAAUGUCUGAGUACUAUAUACUAGUUAAAACUUUCAACAACGGAUCUCUUGGUUCUUGCAUCGAUGAUGAACGCAGC
rnacentral:misc_RNA from 1 species